GACGAACGCUGGCGGCGUGCUUAACACAUGCAAGUCGAACGGAAAGGCCCUGCUUUUGUGGGGUGCUCGAGUGGCGAACGGGUGAGUAACACGUGAGUAACCUGCCCUUGACUUUGGGAUAACUUCAGGAAACUGGGGCUAAUACCGGAUAGGAGCUCCUGCUGCAUGGUGGGGGUUGGAAAGUUUCGGCGGUUGGGGAUGGACUCGCGGCUUAUCAGCUUGUUGGUGGGGUAGUGGCUUACCAAGGCUUUGACGGGUAGCCGGCCUGAGAGGGUGACCGGCAACAUGGGGCCUGAGAGCCGCCCCAGCCUCCGCCGGGGGGCGGCAGGGGGGAAUAUGGCACAGGGGGCGGAAGCCUGAUGCAGCAACCCCGCGGGGGGGAUGGCGGCUUUGGGUUUGUAACCCGCUUUCGCCUGGGACGAAGGGGGAGGGACGUAAAGGGGUAAAAAACCCCCGGCUAACUACGGC
rnacentral:rRNA from 1 species